rnacentral:rRNA from 1 species
GACGAACGCUGGCGGCGUGCUUAACACAUGCAAGUCGAACGGAAAGGCCCUGCUUUUGUGGGGUGCUCGAGUGGCGAACGGGUGAGUAACACGUGAGUAACCUGCCCUUGACUUUGGGAUAACUUCAGGAAACUGGGGCUAAUACCGGAUAGGAGCUCCUGCUGCAUGGUGGGGGUUGGAAAGUUUCGGCGGUUGGGGAUGGACUCGCGGCUUAUCAGCUUGUUGGUGGGGUAGUGGCUUACCAAGGCUUUGACGGGUAGCCGGCCUGAGAGGGUGACCGGCCACAUGGGGACUGAGAGACGGCCCAGACGCCUACGGGAGGCAGCAGUGGAGAGUAUUGCACAAUGGGCGGGAGCCUGAUGCAGCAACGCCGCGUGCGGGAUGACGGCCUUCGGGUUGUGAACCGCUUUCGCCUGUGACGAAGCGUGAGUGACGGUAAUGGGUAAAGAAGCACCGGCUAACUACGUG